rnacentral:rRNA from 1 species
UUAAAUGAAUUGACGGGGAGCACCACAACGGGUGGAGCUUGCGGUUUAAUUGGAUUCAACGCCGGAAAUCUUACCGGGACCGACAGCAAUAUGAAGGCCAGGCUGAAGACUUUGCCGGAUUAGCUGAGAGGUGGUGCAUGGCCGUCGUCAGUUCGUACUGUGAAGCAUCCUGUUAAGUCAGGCAACGAGCGAGACCCACGUCCACAGUUGCCAGCAUACCCUCCAGGGUGAUGGGUACACUGUGGAGACCGCCGCUGCUAAAGCGGAGGAAGGAAUGGGCAACGGUAGGUCAGUAUGCCCCGAAUCUCCCGGGCUACACGCGGGCUACAAUGGUUGGUACAAUGGGCAUCUACCCCGAAAGGGGAAGGAAAUCUCUUAAAGCCAAUCGUAGUUCGGAUUGAGGGCUGCAACUCGCCCUCAUGAAGCUGGAAUCCGUAGUAAUCGCGUUUCAACAGAACGCGGUGAAUACGUCCCUGCUCCUU